UCCUCGAUAGCUCAGCGGUAGAGCACUCGACUGUUAAUCGAGCGGCCGUUGGUUCGAAUCCAACUCGAGGAGCCA
rnacentral:tRNA from 2 species